UACGUAGGGUGCAAGCGUUGUCCGGAAUUAUUGGGCGUAAAGAGCUUGUAGGCGGUUUGUCGCGUCUGCUGUGAAAUUUCGGGGCUCAACCCCGAACUUGCAGUGGGUACGGGCAGACUAGAGUGUGGUAGGGGGGACUGGAAUUCCUGGUGUAGCGGUGAAAUGCGCAGAUAUCAGGAGGAACACCGAUGGCGAAGGCAGGUCUCUGGGCCACUACUGACGCUGAGAAGCGAAAGCAUGGGGAGCGAACAGG
rnacentral:rRNA from 1 species